UACGUAGGGACCAAGCGUUGUCCGGAAUCAUUGGGCGUAAAGCGCGCGUAGGUGGCCAUUUAAGUCCGCUGUGAAAGUCCAGAGGCUCAACCUUUUGAAAGCCGGUGGAUACUGGAUGGCUAGAGUACGGAAGAGGCGAGUGGAAUUCCUGGUGUAGCGGUGGAAUGCGCAGAUAUCAGGAGGAACACCAAUAGCGAAGGCAGCUCGCUGGGACGUACUGACACUAAGGCGCGAAAAGCGUGGGGAGCGAACAGG
rnacentral:rRNA from 1 species